CGGAAACUCGAGGUAAGCGCCGUAGAAAGGGCCGGUCCUCCUGGCACCCUCCCCGCUCACGGCAGAGACCUCAGGGACGAUGGCCACGCCCAUCCGGGCACCACACUGGGAUUGGGUCAGAGUGACCACACAAAGCUAGCGGACUGGGUCACUCCGAGCCAGCCGGGAAGCUCUGCUGCUUCGGAAACAGAACUGCAGGCUUCUCUCCAACUGGGAGAACAGCUCCCCCCCUCCCCUUCCUUAGUCUGACAGAGACGGUGAUCUAGGACUGGGCAGGCGUGACCAAGCUCCCAGCUGUUUCUGCGCCCUGCUGGAGUAGACGCCCUGGCACAGGCCUGGCACCUCCUUUUGUCCGAGUGCUCAGCCUUUGCCUAAGCAUGCUCGAGCCAGAGCCUGUCCCCAGGGGUCAGAACCUUCUGUCUCGCUGGGGUGACGAGAGCUAGAAAAAUGAUGGAAUUUUUCUUGAAUUUCCCCAUCAGCCUUUGGUCUGGUACAUUUUCUAGAUCUGACAGUUUUGGGGGCAGCUUGCUAUACCUCUUCCUAAUACUCCCCGGUCUCCCCAGCCUGUCAUUCAGAUUAGACUUAUGAUUCUUUUAACCUAGCAUUCAUUUUAUCCUGUGUCAAGAGUUACACCGUGGAGGAGUAUCACUAUCCUUCCUGAUGCGAGCCCCAACGAAUAUCCAAUUUCCCCUAAUGACUUUUAUUGCUCUAUCAUUUAUACAUUUUCUUUUUUAUAGUUUUUUUUUAAUAUUUCUAGCCUGAACAAAAAGGCAAGCGCCUGGAAUUCUAUGUAUCUAUUAAUCUUUGUCUUUAGUAUUUGACCUCAAUUUGUCUUUUUUUCUGGAUUUGGUGAUGGUCUUUUUCAAGAAGGCUCUAUACUUCACCAUGUUGCAGACUUUGACCAUCCUCCUGAGACAGGAAUAGAAAUCUGUAAAGCCUAUUCUGAUACAGAAGCCUCUCCUGAUCACUUUUCUUUUAAAAUAAACAUUUUUCCAGCUGUAUGUCUUUCAAGAAUUAUAAGAAUCCAACCUGCACCAGACGUGGGCCGAAAGGGACCCAGUUAGAAAAUGUGGGACACACGUGUGUAGAAAAUUAAGGCAUUUUGUUGAUCAAGCUCAAGGAAAUGUUGCUAAAAGAAAAAAUUCACAUCUCUUCACCAAGGGCAAUUGGUUGAUGCAGCUGCUAAUUUCUGAUGAAUGAGAAAAAGAUUUCUUCUCAGAUAAGGAUCUCCUGAGAAAAAGAAAAGAAAAGAAAAGAAAAGAAACACUGUUCUCUAAGAUACAUUAUGAGAUCUCUGCAAUGACAGGCACUUUGAAUGCCAUGGAUCAUGGCCAGGUAUGAAGAGGAAAUGGAUCUCAUUCAUUUUUGGACAAGAUAUACACAAAAGAGCCACUGCAUAGGGCCAAAGAUAAACCAAUCCAGGAUGGACUGAUGCACUUCCAAGCCAAUACAAAGGACUGGAACUUAGUGUGAAGACUCGAGGUUGCUAUAUUUAACAUUUGUUAAGACAUAGGCCUUCCUUGUGUCCACACUCACUCUGAAAAUACAGAUGAGUAUCCCCAAACUUGGCUCCUACUUGGUUCCUAUAAUCUGGUCCCUUUUUCUGUCUUUCAUAGUGUGGUAACUUUUUGUAGUCCUGGCACUGACCAGGUAAAUGUAUCAUUGCUUAGAUCAUUUUAAUUGGGCCCUGAUUCAAGGACCUGUUAUAGAUUUAUUUUUCCUUUACUUAGAAUUUUUACACAUAAGACUUUGAUAGUCUAUAUUUCAUCCAGAAAUUUUCCUUUUUAUUUGGAUUUUUCUGAUGUCUUUUUAAUUUCUCUUGCCAGUUGAUUCAUAUACCUCAUAACUCAGCCAUGCAUCCCUAAGUGAUCCUGUAUUUUUCAAUCACCCUUUUAAUGAGGAAAUGUAAAAAUAUUAUUUUAAAUUGCAAAGUUUAAAUUCCUUUUAAGAAGAAUUUUAGGUAAAGAAACAUGAUACCUCUCUGAAUCCAGAAACUGAACUGCUUGGAGAAGACACCACGAAGAUGCCUCCAGACCAUAAGCUGCACAAGAAGAUCAAAAAUGAACUUUGGGUGUGGUUGAUUGAACAUUUAUUUGUAUCUAUACUUUCAUGCCAAAGGGGACUUCCCCCUAACUAGCUUUUUGUCAAUGCGUCUAGCAAUUAUUAGUUUUGUUCUUUUUUCCCCUCUUAUCCUCAAAUUUUUGUAAUGUUUAAGUUGAUUAUGUUUUCAUGUUACCUUUUGGGGAAACUUCUUUCCCCAAUAACGAUCAAACAGAAGAAUGUAAAAAUGGAGAUUUGAACCCUGGACUUCAAUCCCCAGAAGUCUUUGCUCUAGUUUCCAGGAUGCCCUCUAAUAUCACUGAGAUCCUCACCUGGGCGAGGUCAAAAUUUCUAUUUAACUGGCUGUAAAAGCCUAUUGAGCACUCUUCCUACUUCCGCUUCGGAGCACAUGCGGCUCUCUACCUAAACAGGCAAGAUGUGAGUGGUUGUGAAUGGGCUCUCUGGGUCUAGUCAUGUGCUUUCUUAUUUUGUAUUUUCUUUAUUUCUUAACCUUUAAUAAACCUCUAAAAAUAUAAUACUUUUAGCAGAAAAACUAAUUUUAAAUGCUACACCUUAUAAUAAAGAGAAAGAAAGAAAUAUUCAGUCUGUACUCAGAAUUCAUCAGUCCUCUAUCUGUAAGUAGAUAGCAUUUUUCAUCAACUGUGGUAGGUAUUAGAUUUUAAUCUAAAAAAAAUAGUCA